rnacentral:rRNA from 1 species
AGACUAACAGGAUUGCCUCAGUAGCGGCGAGUGAACCGGCAAAAGCUCAAAGUGAAAAUCUGUAGCGGACAAAGUUACAGAAUUGUAAUCUAGAGAGUUUCGCGAAAGGGAGGUCCUCGCACAAAGGCCUGAAACAGCCUAUCAGAGAGGGUGAAAAUCCCGUAGAUGGCGAAGGACUGACCGGCCGUGAGAUUUCGAAGAGUCGGGUUGUUUGGGAUUGCAGCCCUAAAUGGGAGAUAAACUUCUUCUAAAGCUAAAUAUUUAUGGGAGACCGAUAGCGAACAAGUACUACGAAGGAAAGAUGAAAAGAACUUUGAAAAGAGGGUUAAAAGACUUGAAAUCGUUGAGAAGGAACUGGUAGAAGAGGAUUAUUUGGGUGGGACGUUAGUUGUGAGAGCAAUGGUCCUCGUAGAGUGGAGUUCGUCAAAGGCUUGCUUUGCGUGAGAUAACAGGGCUCUGCGGCUUUUUCCUGCUCAAAAGACAAAAUGAGGCCUCGGCUGUCGGAGACACUGAAAGGAACGCCCCUUGGCAACAAGGAGUCCUGGCAGAACACGGCAGUGUAAGGCCUGAGGGACCGAAAGGUGAUUUUGUCGAAAUGGCUUCUACUGACCCGUCUUGAAACACGGACCAAGGAGUGUAACACAUAUGCGAGUUUGCGGGUGGAAAAACCCAUCAGGCGCAAUGAAAGUAAGAAUAAGAUGUGAAGCCGCAAGGCAGCAACAUCGACCCACCUUGAUCUUCUGGUGAAGGGUUGGAGUAAGAGCAUAUUUGUUACGACCCGAAAGAUGGUGAACUAUGCUUGAGUAGGCUGAAGCCAGGGGAAACUCUGGUGGAAGGUCGCAGCGAUACUGACGUGCAAAUCGUUCGUCUAACUUGAGUAUAGGGGCGAAAGACUAAUCGAACCAUCUAGUAGCUGGUUCCCUCUGAAGUUUCUCUCAGGAUAGCUGGAACAGACAAAAACCGCAGUUUUAUCAGGUAAAGCGAAUGAUUAGAGGAAUCGGAGCUCAAAGAGUUUUGACCUAUUCUCAAACUUUAAAUUGGUAAGAACCUUCAGUUUUCUUAAUUGAACUGAGGGGAAGAAUGCGUUGUUCUAAGUGGGCCCUUUUUGGUAAGCAGAACGGGUAAUGAGGGAUGAACCUAACGUUGAGCUAAGGCGCCGAAAUCCCCGCUCAUCAGAUACCACAAAAGGUGUUGAUUCAUACAGACAGCAGGACGGUGGCCAUGGAAGUCGGAAUCCGCUAAGGAGUGUGUAACAACUCACCUGCCGAAUGAAUUAGCCCUGAAAAUGGAUGGCGCUGAAGCGGGGUGCCGAUACUCAACCAUUAGAGCAAAUGUGAAGCUCUAAUGUGUAAGAGGGCGUGAGCACAGUGCAGAAGCCUAGAGCGUGAGCUUGGGUGGAACUGUGUUUAGUGCAGAUCUUGGUGGUAGUAGCAAAUAUUCAAAUGAGAACUUUGAAGACCGAAGUGGAGAAGGGUUCCAUGAGAACAGCAAUUGGUCAUGGGUUAUUCGAUCCUAAGGCAUGGGGAAGUUCCUUGUAAUACAAGAGCACUUCAGCUCGUUGCCAAAAGGGAAUGAGGUUAAUAUUCCUCAAACUGGACGUGGAUACAGUAUGGUAACAUAAGUGAGCCUGGAGACAUCGGCAUGUACCCCUGGAAGAGUUAUCUUUUCUUUUUAACAGACUACCACCCUGAAAUUGGAUUAUCCAGAGCUAGGGUUAUAUGUCUGGCAGAGCAUCACACUCUAAGUGGUGUCAGGUGCGUUCAUGACGAUCCUUGAAAAUCCAGGUGAGAGAUUUAUUCGCACGCCAGGUCGUACCAAUAACCGCAUCAG